AGAGUUUGAUCCUGGCUCGGAACGAACGCUGGCGGCAUGCCUAAUACAUGCAAGUCGAACGAGCCCUUCGGGGUUAGUGGCGCACGGGUGCGUAACGCGUGGGAAUCUGCCCUUGGGUUCGGAAUAACGUCUGGAAACGGACGCUAAUACCGGAUGAUGACGAAAGUCCAAAGAUUUAUCGCCCAGGGAUGAGCCCGCGUAGGAUUAGCUAGUUGGUGAGGUAAAGGCUCACCAAGGCGACGAUCCUUAGCUGGUCUGAGAGGAUGAUCAGCCACACUGGGACUGAGACACGGCCCAGACUCCUACGGGAGGCAGCAGUAGGGAAUAUUGGACAAUGGGGGCAACCCUGAUCCAGCAAUGCCGCGUGAGUGAUGAAGGCCUUAGGGUUGUAAAGCUCUUUUACCCGGGAUGAUAAUGACAGUACCGGGAGAAUAAGCCCCGGCUAACUCCGUGCCAGCAGCCGCGGUAAUACGGAGGGGGCUAGCGUUGUUCGGAAUUACUGGGCGUAAAGCGCACGUAGGCGGCGAUUUAAGUCAGAGGUGAAAGCCCGGGGCUCAACCCCGGAAUAGCCUUUGAGACUGGAUUGCUUGAACAUCGGAGAGGUGAGUGGAAUUCCGAGUGUAGAGGUGAAAUUCGUAGA
rnacentral:rRNA from 1 species